GAUGAACGCUGGCGGCGUGCCUAAUACAUGCAAGUCGAGCGAACAGAUGAGGAGCUUGCUCCUCUGACGUUAGCGGCGGACGGGUGAGUAACACGUGGAUAACCUACCUAUAAGACUGGGAUAACUUCGGGAAACCGGUGCUAAUACCGGAUAAUAUAUUGAACCGCAUGGUUCAAUAGUGAAAGACGGUUUUGCUGUCACUUAUAGAUGGAUCCGCGCCGCAUUAGCUAGUUGGUAAGGUAACGGCUUACCAAGGCAACGAUGCGUAGCCGACCUGAGAGGGUGAUCGGCCACACUGGAACUGAGACACGGUCCAGACUCCUACGGGAGGCAGCAGUAGGGAAUCUUCCGCAAUGGGCGAAAGCUUGACGGAGCAACGCCGCGUGAGUGAUGAAGGUCUUCGGAUCGUAAAACUCUGUUAUUAGGGAAGAACAAAUGUGUAAGUAACUAUGCACGUCUUGACGGUACCUAAUCAGAAAGCCACGGCUAACUACGUG
rnacentral:rRNA from 1 species